AAGAAUAGUUUUUGUUUUCACCUUCAUUCCGGCUACACAACUUUAGCUUUUGACAACGAAAAAACUCUUCUCCAGUUAUCUUCUCUCUUCACUCCACCUUUCUCUAGCGAUCUCUCUCUCCUUGCCCAAUUCACCCACCACUCCUAUCUUUUACAAACAAAGAGGAGAAGGGGCGCGCGGGGUAGGGGUGGGGGGGGUCUAUUCUGGAAGAGGUUUGAAUCUUUACCUGGAGGUGCCAGCGUCCACACAGAGAAGCAGCUCAGGGGGUUAAAGACCACCCGCAGGCGUUUGCUGUCCCCUCCCCCUCCCUCCUUUCGCAGCUGUUCAGCUGUCGUCCCGCAUCUGGAUUCCUCAGUCAAGCUGGUCUCCGCAGCAUCUGGACACAAAGGCGUUCGGGGUGGUGCGGAGGGGAGGGGGGUACGACGAGAGAGGAGUUUGCAAGCUUGACAGGAAGAAGUAUGCUGUAGUGGAAAGUGCACUGCAUUUGGAAUCAGAUGACCUGUUCCAAUCCUGGCUCUAUCAUUUAAUAUCUUGCAGGUCAGUCAUCCUCUUUGGACCUCAUUUUCCUUAUCUGUAAAAUGUGUGGUUUGAAUGAGCUGGCUUUUUCAGCUCUAAUUCUAUGGACUUAUGAUCUCCAAGCAUUGCAGCAAUAGAUAAAAUCAGGACCACUGUUUGUCCUUCGAAGAGAAUCUAGCACUGAUCUAGAG
rnacentral:lncRNA from 1 species